rnacentral:rRNA from 1 species
AACAGGAUUAGAUACCCUGGUAGUCCACGCCGUAAACGAUGUCGACCAGCCGUUGGGUGCCUAGAGCACUUUGUGGCGAAGUUAACGCGAUAAGUCGACCGCCUGGGGAGUACGGCCGCAAGGUUAAAACUCAAAUGAAUUGACGGGGGCCCGCACAAGCGGUGGAGCAUGUGGUUUAAUUCGAUGCAACGCGAAGAACCUUACCUACCCUUGACAUCUACAGAAGCCGGAAGAGAUUCUGGUGUGCCUUCGGGAACUGUAAGACAGGUGCUGCAUGGCUGUCGUCAGCUCGUGUUGUGAAAUGUUGGGUUAAGUCCCGUAACGAGCGCAACCCUUGUCCUUAUUUGCCAGCGAGUAAUGUCGGGAACUCUAAGGAGACUGCCGGUGACAAACCGGAGGAAGGUGGGGACGGCGUCAAGUCAUCAUGGCCCUUACGGGUAGGGCUACACACGUGCUACAAUGGCCGGUACAAAGGGCUGCGAGCUCGCGAGAGUCAGCGAAUCCCUUAAAGCCGGUCUCAGUCCGGAUCGGAGUCUGCAACUCGACUCCGUGAAGUCGGAAUCGCUAGUAAUCGUGAAUCAGAAUGUCACGGUGAAUACGUUCCCGGGCCUUGUACACACCGCCCGUCACACCAUGGGAGUGGACUGCACCAGAAGUGGUUAGCCUAACGCAAGAGGGCGAUCACCACGGUGUGGUUCAUGACUGGGGUGAAGUCGUAACAAGGUAACC